rnacentral:piRNA from 2 species
UCAUGUCUUAUUUAUCUCUAUAUCCCUAGGA